GUGAAGUGAGAGUGAAGGUGGUGAGCAGCUUGGGAAGCCAUUGGAGGGAUAAAGCUAGGGUUUUGGUGAUGGAGUGAGCAAUGGGAAGAAGAAGAGUAAACAAAUCUGCCCAAGUAGUGAGAGUAAAGUGACAAAGUCGAAGCUUUUUGCAGCAGCAAUGGUGAACUGGACAUCCUCCUUCGCUUGCAGAUUGCCAUUUGUGUUGCAGAGGACUAAAAGAAAAGCUUCCUCGAACAACAUGGUAAAACUUUCAGAUACUUCAGUUUAUACCCCUCGGUUAAUGUAUCCGUAUCGCAACCUGGACCCAAGCAAUGAAUGUAGAUCUAGUAUUCGACAAUACAUGGCAUGAUUUGUCUUGCUCUGGCAUCCUAUGUUGGAAUUCUGAUUGAAGGAUUAGCUUCUGUUUGCUCGAUCAAGUCCGAGAUUGAAACGUUAUAGGGAAAGAUUAGUUGGAGAUAAUGUGGUUACAGACAGGAUGAUUUGUUCUAGGAUUUGGAUUCUUCCUCGAACCCAUGCUUUGAUUUGGUCGCGUUUGUUAGUUUUAAUAAGAUCAGAUCAGCUCUGUCAUUUGUUGUA